GCUCGGGUGGCGGAAUUGGCAGACGCGUAUGGUUGAGGUCCAUAUGGAGCAAUCCUUGGGGGUUCAAGUCCCCCCCCGAGUACCA
rnacentral:tRNA from 2 species